rnacentral:rRNA from 1 species
UACGUAGGUGGCGAGCGUUGUCCGGAUUUACUGGGCGUAAAGAGCGCGCAGGCGGCUGGUCAAGUCCGAUGUGAAAGCUCCCGGCUUAACUGGGGAGGGUCAUUCGAUACUGAUCGACUCGAAGGCAGGAGAGGGUAGUGGAAUUCCCGGUGUAGUGGUGAAAUGCGUAGAUAUCGGGAGGAACACCAGUGGCGAAGGCGACUACCUGGCCUGUUCUUGACGCUGAGGCGCGAAAGCUAGGGGAGCAAACGGG